CUUAUACGUUUAUCGUAAGUAUUCAGUUAUCGAACAGAAACGUGUUUAAGUGAAAUUUAGUUUCACUUGUCACUAUAAAUUCUGUUUUUGACUUUCUGUUGUCACUUAGCAUAUAUAUAAUUAUAUAUAUAUUAAUAGUAUUGCGUAUCAAUCAAUUUGGAUUUAAAUUCUGGAGUUCAGGCAAAUAUAUUUUUUUCAUAUUUUAAUUUACAGUUUACACUUAUUUAAAUAACUACAGCCUU